rnacentral:rRNA from 1 species
UGGGUAACCUGCCUUAUAGUGGGGGAUAGCCUUUCGAAAGGAAGAUUAAUACCGCAUAAGAUUGUAGUAUCGCAUGAUAUAGCAAUUAAAGGAGCAAUUCGCUAUAAGAUGGACCCGCGUCGCAUUAGCUAGUUGGUGAGGUAAUGGCUCACCAAGGCGACGAUGCGUAGCCGACCUGAGAGGGUGAUCGGCCACACUGGAACUGAGACACGGUCCAGACUCCUACGGGAGGCAGCAUG